rnacentral:rRNA from 1 species
AUUGAACGCUGGCGGCAGGCCUAACACAUGCAAGUCGAACGAGUGGCGGACGGGUGCGUAAUGUCUGGGAAACUGCCCGAUGGAGGGGGAUAACUACUGGAAACGGUAGCUAAUACCGCAUACCAUCAGAUGUGCCCAGAUGGGAUUAGCUAUUAGGUGGGGUAAUGGCUCACCGAGGCGACGAUCCCUAGCUGGUCUGAGAGGAUGACCAGCCACAAUGGAACGGAGCCACGGGCCAGACGCCUACGGGAGGCAGCAGAGGGGAAUAUUGCACAAGGGGCGCAAGCCUGAUGCAGCAAGGCGGCGUGUGGGAAGAAGGCCUUCGGGUUGUAAAGUACUUUCAGCGAGGAGGCGUGAAUCGAAGAAGAAGCACCGGCUAACUCCGUGCCAGCCGCCGCGGUAAUUC